GGGAAGAGCCCAAACCAACAGGCGUGCUUGUUGGGGUUGUAGGACUCUCUAUACGGAGGUACAAAGGACGACAUUAGGCGAAUCCUCUGGAAAGAUGUAUCGGAGAAGGUAAAAAUCCUGGAGUCGAAUUUGUUGUCUCUCUUUAGUGGAGGCUGAGUUCUACGGGGCUCGUUAAACUCCUCCUGUAUUUGGUAGGCCCUUCUCCUAAGGCUAAAUAC
rnacentral:rRNA from 1 species